rnacentral:rRNA from 1 species
AACGAACGCUGGCGGCAUGCCUAACACAUGCAAGUCGAACGAGACCUUCGGGUCUAGUGGCGCACGGGUGCGUAACGCGUGGGAACCUGCCCUUAGGUUCGGAAUAACUCCCCGAAAGGGGUGCUAAUACCGGUUAAUGUCUUCGGACCAAAGAUUUAUCGCCUUUGGAUGGGCCCGCGUUGGAUUAGCUAGUUGGUAGGGUAAAAGCCUACCAAGGCGACGAUCCAUAGCUGGUCUGAGAGGAUGAUCAGCCACACUGGGACUGAGACACGGCCCAGACUCCUACGGGAGGCAGCAGUAGGGAAUAUUGUACGAGGGGCGAAAGCCUGAUCCAGCAAUGCCGCGUGAGUGAUGAAGGCCUUAGGGUUGUAAAGCUCUUUUACCCGAGAUGAGAAUGACAGUACCGGGAGAAUAAGCACCGGCUAACUCCGUG